rnacentral:rRNA from 1 species
UCCACGCCGUAAACGAUGGACACUAGCUGUUGGGGCGCAAGUCUCGGCGGCCAAGCGAAAGUGAUAAGUGUCCCACCUGGGGAGUACGUUCACAAGAAUGAAACCCAAAGGAAUUGACGGGGGCCCGCACAAGCGGUGGAGCAUGUGGUUUAAUUCGAUGAUACGCGAGGAACCUUACCAGGGCUUAAAUGCAGAAUGACAGGUUUAGAGAUAGACUUUUCUUCGGACAUUUUGCAAGGUGCUGCAUGGUUGUCGUCAGCUCGUGCCGUGAGGUGUCAGGUUAAGUCCUAUAACGAGCGCAACCCUUACCGUUAGUUGCCAUCAGGUAAUGCUGGGGACUCUAACGGGACUGCCGGUGCAAACCGUGAGGAAGGUGGGGACGACGUCAAAUCAUCACGGCCCUUACGUCCUGGGCUACACACGUGCUACAAUGGCCGGUACAAUGAGCAGCCACGUCGCAAGGCGGAGCGAAUCUAAAAAACCGGUCACAGUUCGGAUCGGGGUCUGCAACCCGACCCCGUGAAGCUGGAAUCGCUAGUAAUCGGAUAUCAGCCAUGAUCCGGUGAAUACGUUCCCGGGCCUUGUACACACCGCCCAAGC